UACGUAGGGGGCUAGCGUUGUCCGGAAUCAUUGGGCGUAAAGAGCGUGUAGGCGGCCAGGUAGGUCUGCUGUGAAAACUCGAGGCUCAACCUCGAGACGUCGGCGGAAACCAUCUGGCUAGAGUCCGGAAGAGGAGAGUGGAAUUCCUGGUGUAGCGGUGAAAUGCGCAGAUAUCAGGAAGAACACCCGUGGCGAAGGCGGCUCUCUGGGACGUCACUGACGCUGAGACGCGAAAGCGUGGGGAGCAAACAGG
rnacentral:rRNA from 1 species